GGGAAUGAAACGGCUUCGACGGGGUGCAAAGAGGAUUGAAACUGCAUACUGUGUUGCUGCCAUCACAUAAAAACGGCAGAAAAAAACAACUGGCGAAAAUAACUACGCCUUAGCUGCUUAAUUAAAAAAAGCAACUACAUUUUCUUUGUUCUCCGUUCAUCGGAACUUUGAAAAUGCCAACUUGAUGAACUGCUCCGGAUUAAUGUCUGUUACAUUCGGCUAAGAUUUACAGACUAACAGGUGUGAAUUUUGUUUGUUUUAUAGCUACUGUGAAAUUCUUAAAAUAAACUAUGUAUGUAGAGGUUUUGAUUGGCUUCAUUCCGGACCCGGGUUCGACUCCCGGCAUUUCCACUA
rfam:Chlorobi bacterium OLB4 TZ04_CHB001CONTIG000017, whole genome shotgun sequence.